GAAUUUACAGCUUGACUGUAAUUCUAAGGUUCAACCUUUAGCAUAUAGGUUAAAAAGUCUGGUCCAAAAGAUUUUUCAACCCUUACCCUUUUACUUCUUCUAGGCUCUACCUCUUCAUUUCCUUCUACUUCAACUUCAUGUUGAAUGUCUUGACUGUCUUUAUUAACAGUCUCAAGAGAUCAUUUAGAACCUGAUGCAAUCUCUUC
rnacentral:lncRNA from 1 species